CGCGUUUUACGCCCCGGACAGAAUAUUGGACUGUGGAAAUGGGAAAUACACACCUUAACUUUCUUGUUUCUCUACAAAGCAAACGGGUUUAAAAUUUCUAAAAUUCAUCCUCUAUGACUACUUUUUGUUCGUUCCCCAUCGAGAUAAAAGUCUGAAAUGGGGCCGGAGUUUUAUACAUGGUCAUGGCAUUCAGCACGCGACCUUUGACCACCCAAAUUUUUUCCUCAUUGUCGUUCGACGGCGUCCGGUCUCGUGAAGACACCUUUAUUUCCGGUAACACGAAGUGAACCAAUAGGAGUGCGCUAAAUUUCAAAUUUAAUUUUGGCGCCCAAAACAUAAGUGUUGGGCGGUGACGUCACUGGGCGGACUUUAUUGUGUAUACACAGCAAAUUUUUAUAUAUCGUCAAACGCAGCGAAAAAUGGAGAAGAUGUUUUGUUAGAGCAAUGAAUUUUUGAAUUCUCUUUGUAUAUUUUAUAAGUUAUGUGUAGAAAGAUGGCCAGACAGUGAAUGAUGCCAAGACAGUCGUAUAUUUCCGAAACUGAACAAUUUGCAAGGAUAGAAGGUAAUAUAUUUUGUUAUGUAAAUAUGCGAAGCUUUCUUGCUUUGACAGCUGUGAACGUCAAAAGAAUUGCCCUGUAUUCUUUUGCAGCAUUACUCAAACAGAC